CCUGAAGAUUGCGGUGUGACGAGGCUCUGACUCCGUAACGCUACUGGAGUUGAUGUUCGGUGAUUUUGGGCGCGAGCCGUCGACCGCUGUUCGCCAUUGCAGGCAUGACAAGCAACCAUCAACAUUAUUCAGAUUACAUAGUGAGGUUCAGUGGAGUGGAGUAGAUGGCGCCUUGGGCAUGGACCUGAUGGGGCUCGGCUCGAACACAGCCUGAGGGGUCUCAAUGACAGUUUCUGUAUGUUGAACAUAAUGUGCAGUCUCACAUAUACAGCCAGUCAGCCACUGUAUUAUUUACUGCGCUAUAAGCAGCUAUUUUGGU